ACAUAUAUUUUCCAUAUAUAAGAUUUUCAACCCUAUUUUAUAUUAAUAUUAUUUGAGUAAAACCCUGAAAACCAUUUCUGUCUGUUUUAGCUUUUUGAGAUGUUUCCAAAGGAAAUGAUCUCAAUAAAUUCCAAUAAAAUUACAGGAGCCCUCCCAAGCCAUAUUAGGUGCUCACAUAAAAUAUCACCUUGAUCCAAGGUGGGGAAGUGCACCUAAUGA
rnacentral:lncRNA from 1 species